GUCCCCCACCCCUGAGCGGUGGGUGGGGGCCCUAAAUUAGAAUGAGGGGGAGGACCUAAUGUUCUCCCCCUGGCCCCCACCCACCACUCAGGGGUGGGGGCC